CUUUUCCGAUGGUAUUCGAUCAAGGGUUUAAUAUCUGCCUUCUCUCUCCAGCGGCUUCGUGGGAAAAAUAUAUCGCAAAUCCUCCCCAUCUUGUCGGCGAUCGAUCGCCCAAGAAGAAGGCGGCGACGAGAAUCGGAGCCGAUUCGAUCGAUUCUUCUGUACUCCAGACUGGAAUGGCGGAGAAUUUGGGACGAGAUUGAGGAGAUAAUGGUCGGAAUCCGUGGGGGGCGUCGCGAUUGCAUGGGAGAAGAAUGCCAGAACUGCGUAGCGGGACGCGUCGAGGAGGCCGCGCUCCACCGCCGGCGGCGGCGGUGAUCCCGUCGUGGAAGCCAAGGGCCCGGGCGGCAAAGAAGCCGGGGCCGGCCGCGGCGGUAGCGGCUGGGAUCGGGCAGCGGGUGAGGACCCGGGCGGGGGCGCGUCGACCGGCGGCAAAGUCGCGGCCGAGGGCGAGGUCGGCGAAGGGGAGGUUGGUUCUGGUGAACGAGGACGACGGAAAGGGGGAAGAGGAGGAGAGAGUGUCGGAACAGUCGAAGGAGGUGGUGGUUGUCGAAGAGGAGGAGAAAAGAGGAGGAGGCCGAAGGAAGCGAGGAGAGGAACUGGUAAAGGAGGACGUCUGGGGGAAGGAGAUAAUGGGGGACGAAAGCGGUGGGUUGAGUGCCAAUCGGGCCGCAGCGAAGGAAGAGGAAGGGAGCACCGCACCUUUCCCAGAAAGGGUCCAGGUAGGAGGGUCUCCUGUUUAUAAGAUCGAGAGGAGAUUGGGCAAAGGUGGGUUUGGUCAGGUUUUUGUUGGUCGCCGUGUUUCUGGAGGCAGUGAACGUGCAACAGGUGCUGGUGCAUUAGAGGUGGCUAUAAAAUUUGAGCAUAGGAGCAGCAAAGGCUGUAACUAUGGUCCUCCAUAUGAAUGGCAAGUUUACAGUGCUCUUGGGGGCACCCAUGGCGUACCUAAGGUGCAUUAUAAAGGGCGACAGGGAGACUAUUAUGUGAUGGUUAUGGAUAUGCUGGGUCCUAGUUUAUGGGAUGCAUGGAAUUCAUCUGGCCAAGCGAUGUCAUCUGAGAUGGUAGCUUGCAUUGGUGUCGAGUCCAUUUCGAUUCUUGAGAAGAUGCAUUCAAAAGGAUAUGUCCAUGGAGAUGUAAAGCCUGAGAAUUUUUUAUUUGGUCAGCCAUCAACACCCCAGGAGAAGAAGUUAUAUCUUGUUGAUCUGGGAUUAGCAACAAGAUGGAAAGAUACUGCCAGCACACAGCAUGUUGAGUAUGAUCAGCGACCAGAUGUGUUCAGAGGAACUGUUCGAUAUGCGAGCGUGCAUGCACACUUGGGACGAACUGCAAGUAGAAGGGAUGAUUUGGAGUCUCUUGCAUACACACUCAUUUUUCUUCACCGAGGCAGGUUACCAUGGCAGGGAUUCCAGGGCGAUAACAAGUCAUUUUUAGUUUGCAAGAAAAAGAUGGCAACAUCUCCUGAGAUCCUUUGUUGCUUCUGUCCACCACCUUUUAAACAGUUUCUUGAGCUUGUAGUCAACAUGAAGUUUGAUGAGGAGCCAAACUACUCUAAAUUAAUUUCACUGUUUGAUGGGUUAAUUGGACCAAAUCCAGCAACCAGGCCCAUCAAUACAGAUGGUGCUCAGAAGAUUCUCUGUCAGGUUGGCCAGAAACGGGGCAGGCUGACUAUUGAUGAAGAAGAUGAAGGUCAUUUAAAGAAGAAGAUCCGUUUAGGAGUUCCUGCCACCCAGUGGAUUUCAGUAUAUAAUGCCAGGCUUCCUAUGAAACAAAGGUACCAUUAUAAUGUGGCUGAUGCACGGGUGGCACAACAUGUGGAGAGAGGAAAUGAAGAUGGCCUGCUUAUAAGUUGUGUUGCAUCAUGCUCCAAUCUGUGGGCACUCAUUAUGGAUGCAGGAACUGGUUUCACAUCUCAGGUUUACGAAUUGUCACCCCUCUUCCUUCACAAGGAUUGGAUUAUGGAACAGUGGGAGAAAAACUACUUUAUCAGCUCUAUAGCUGGUGCUAACAAUGGAAGUUCUCUCGUAGUGAUGUCUAAAGGCACUCCAUAUACGCAGCAGUCUUACAAAGUUAGUGAAUCUUUCCCCUUCAAAUGGAUAAACAAGAAGUGGAAAGAAGGAUUUCAUGUCACAUCAAUGGCAACUUCUGGAAGCCGAUGGGGUGUUGUCAUGUCCCGCAAUGCUGGCUUUAGUGAUCAGGUUGUUGAAUUAGAUUUUCUCUAUCCAAGUGAGGGAAUCCAUAGGCGUUGGGAUAAUGGGUAUCGCAUAACCUCAGUGGCUGCCACUUGGGAUCAGGCUGCCCUUAUUCUAAGUGUGCCCAAACGGAAGCCUGGGGAUGAGACUCAGGAGACCCUUCGAACCUCAGCGUUCCCAAGUGCUCACGUCAAGGAUAAAUGGGCCAAGAAUCUCUAUCUUGCUGCUGUGUGCUAUGGACGCACUGUAUCAUGAUAUUUAUGCCGACCUACAUGUCAAAUAUUGAGAGCAGUGUUUUGCUGCCUGAGUUUAAUUUAGCAUGCAAGUGGUAACCGCUCGAAAGGCAAUGGGUUGUAUGAUGUGAUCAAAGAGGAAAUGCCGAACUGACUGAAGAUUCAGAGGUACAUGAAGAAAAGAUGGUUGCGAUCCGGAGUUCAGUGAACCGUCUGGAACGGCAUACUUUCAAGACAGGAGAAAAUAGACUUUUCUGGACGAUAGGUUGGCAUGACCGGGUUAUUCCUUUGUUGCACUAAAGUACUGUAAACCACUUGAAAAGAGUCCCGCCUAUUGUAGUCCCACUUAGAGUCAUGAAUUGGGCAUUAAAAUUGAAAUGAUGCACGGAUAUAGAUUCCAAUGGUCCGGUCCGUGGGUCGAGCUGUAGACUUCGUUUCAAGCUGCCAUGUCAGGAGGAAAAUUUGACAAAACUCUAGCCCAGCACGCUCGUUGCGCAUCCUUAUGCACAGAUCCAGUGAUUUGCUAA